GUUGUAUGGUUAAGUGACUAAGCGUACACGGUGGAUGCCUGGGCAGUCAGAGGCGAUGAAGGACGUACUAACUUGCGAUAAGCGCAGAUAAGGCAGUAAGAGCCGUUUGAGUCUGCGAUUUCCGAAUGGGGAAACCCAACUGCAUAAGCAGUUACUGUUAACUGAAUACAUAGGUUAACAGAGCAAACCGGGGGAACUGAAACAUCUAAGUACCCCGAGGAGAAGAAAUCAACCGAGAUUCCGGUAGUAGCGGCGAGCGAACCUGGAUUAGCCCUUAAGCACUCGGUGAAGUAGGUGAACAAGCUGGAAAGCUUGGCGAUACAGGGUGAUAGCCCCGUAACCGACGCUUCAUCGAGCGUGAAAUCGAGUAGGGCGGGACACGUGAUAUCCUGUCUGAAUAUGGGGGGACCAUCCUCCAAGGCUAAAUACUCCUGACUGACCGAUAGUGAACCAGUACCGUGAGGGAAAGGCGAAAAGAACCCCUGUGAGGGGAGUGAAAUAGAACCUGAAACCGUGUACGUACAAGCAGUAGGAGCACCUUCGUGGUGUGACUGCGUACCUUUUGUAUAAUGGGUCAGCGACUUAUAUUCAGUGGCAAGGUUAACCGUAUAGGGGAGCCGUAGCGAAAGCGAGUCUUAACUGGGCGCUCAGUCUCUGGAUAUAGACCCGAAACCGGGUGAUCUAGCCAUGGGCAGGUUGAAGGUUGAGUAACAUCAACUGGAGGACCGAACCGACUAAUGUUGAAAAAUUAGCGGAUGACUUGUGGCUAGGGGUGAAAGGCCAAUCAAACUCGGAGAUAGCUGGUUCUCCCCGAAAGCUAUUUAGGUAGCGCCUCGGACGAAUACUACUGGGGGUAGAGCACUGUUAAGGCUAGGGGGUCAUCCCGACUUACCAACCCUUUGCAAACUCCGAAUACCAGUAAGUACUAUCCGGGAGACACACGGCGGGUGCUAACGUCCGUCGUGGAGAGGGAAACAACCCAGACCGCCAGCUAAGGUCCCAAAGUAUUGCUAAGUGGGAAACGAUGUGGGAAGGCUCAGACAGCUAGGAUGUUGGCUUAGAAGCAGCCAUCAUUUAAAGAAAGCGUAAUAGCUCACUAGUCGAGUCGGCCUGCGCGGAAGAUGUAACGGGGCUAAGCAAUACACCGAAGCUGCGGCAAUGAAGUUUACUUCAUUGGGUAGGGGAGCGUUCUGUAAGCCGUUGAAGGUGAAUCGUAAGGUUUGCUGGAGGUAUCAGAAGUGCGAAUGCUGACAUGAGUAACGACAAAGGGGGUGAAAAACCUCCUCGCCGGAAGACCAAGGGUUCCUGUCCAACGUUAAUCGGGGCAGGGUGAGUCGACCCCUAAGGUGAGGCCGAAAGGCGUAAUCGAUGGGAAACGGGUUAAUAUUCCCGUACUUCUGACUAUUGCGAUGGGGGGACGGAGAAGGCUAGGUGGGCCAGGCGACGGUUGUCCUGGUUCAAGUGCGUAGGCUUGAGAGUUAGGUAAAUCCGGCUCUCUUUAAGGCUGAGACACGACGUCGAGCUGCUACGGCAGUGAAGUCAUUGAUGCCAUGCUUCCAGGAAAAGCCUCUAAGCUUCAGAUAGUCAGGAAUCGUACCCCAAACCGACACAGGUGGUCGGGUAGAGAAUACCAAGGCGCUUGAGAGAACUCGGGUGAAGGAACUAGGCAAAAUGGUACCGUAACUUCGGGAGAAGGUACGCUCUUGAUGGUGAAGUCCCUCGCGGAUGGAGCUGACGAGAGUCGCAGAUACCAGGUGGCUGCAACUGUUUAUUAAAAACACAGCACUGUGCAAAAUCGCAAGAUGACGUAUACGGUGUGACGCCUGCCCGGUGCCGGAAGGUUAAUUGAUGGGGUUAGCGUAAGCGAAGCUCUUGAUCGAAGCCCCGGUAAACGGCGGCCGUAACUAUAACGGUCCUAAGGUAGCGAAAUUCCUUGUCGGGUAAGUUCCGACCUGCACGAAUGGCGUAAUGAUGGCCACGCUGUCUCCACCCGAGACUCAGUGAAAUUGAAAUCGCUGUGAAGAUGCAGUGUACCCGCGGCUAGACGGAAAGACCCCGUGAACCUUUACUACAGCUUGGCACUGAACAUUGAACCUACAUGUGUAGGAUAGGUGGGAGGCUAUGAAGACGUGACGCUAGUUGCGUUGGAGCCGUCCUUGAAAUACCACCCUUGUAUGUUUGAUGUUCUAACUUAGACCCAUUAUCUGGGUUGAGGACAGUGCCUGGUGGGUAGUUUGACUGGGGCGGUCUCCUCCCAAAGAGUAACGGAGGAGCACGAAGGUGGGCUAAUCACGGUUGGACAUCGUGAGGUUAGUGCAAUGGCAUAAGCCCGCUUAACUGCGAGAAUGACGGUUCGAGCAGGUGCGAAAGCAGGUCAUAGUGAUCCGGUGGUUCUGUAUGGAAGGGCCAUCGCUCAACGGAUAAAAGGUACUCCGGGGAUAACAGGCUGAUACCGCCCAAGAGUUCAUAUCGACGGCGGUGUUUGGCACCUCGAUGUCGGCUCAUCACAUCCUGGGGCUGAAGUCGGUCCCAAGGGUAUGGCUGUUCGCCAUUUAAAGUGGUACGCGAGCUGGGUUUAGAACGUCGUGAGACAGUUCGGUCCCUAUCUGCCGUGGGCGUUGGAAGAUUGAAGGGGGCUGCUCCUAGUACGAGAGGACCGGAGUGGACGAACCUCUGGUGUUCGGGUUGUGUCGCCAGACGCAUUGCCCGGUAGCUAAGUUCGGAAUCGAUAACCGCUGAAAGCAUCUAAGCGGGAAGCGAGCCCUGAGAUGAGUCUUCCCUGACAGUUUAACUGUCCUAAAGGGUUGUUCGAGACUAGAACGUUGAUAGGCAGGGUGUGUAAGCGUUGUGAGGCGUUGAGCUAACCUGUACUAAUUGCCCGUGAGGCUUAACCAUACAACACCCAAGGGGUUUUGUA
rnacentral:rRNA from 1 species